UAAAUCAGCUAAGAUAACUAGGCACAAAGCAAACAAGGUAAAUUAGGGAAACUCCGGUGCAAAUCCGAGGCUGUGCCGCAACUGUAAACGAGACUGUGGGAGUAAUCAUACUCUAUAUACAGCGAUCGCUAGCCAGAAUGCCUAAAUUGCCAGUAGCUUACC
rfam:Chroococcales cyanobacterium CENA595 contig_226, whole genome shotgun sequence.